AGGAGUUAGCAAGGAUCGUAGUUGGGGACGGGCAUGGGUUGUUCGAGGCGUAGAUGUUGUUCUUGGGACAAGACAGGAAUCUAAGUCGAUCAGGUGAAGCAGGAGAUCUGAAACCAGGAAGACAACAAACAAGCAACGAAGGGCAAAUGCCAAAAAGGGACUGGAAGGAUGAGGAGGGUCUUCUACUAUGAGCAGCUGCCCUAAUCAGAGUGGUCCUCCACAACAUGAGUGGACAUCUUGAAGGUGGUACACGGUGGGACUGAGUCAUCCCCUGGAAGGAACCAACAGGCUGCACUUAAACACAGGUGGUGUGGAACCUGAUGAAAAACACUCUGAAAACAGGGGUU